GUGGCCUAUACAAAAGCACUCCAUGUUUCUGCCGAUACUCUGUCCUUGGUUGCCUGAGCAAAAUUGUAUAAAGGGAGCUGCUUGGAGGGGAAAGGAACACAAUAAAACGCCUCUGGAGGGCCAAACCCCAAGUUACACAGCGCAACAGUACUUGUCAACCACUCCAUCUCCUCAGUGACACAGGUGCUAAAGUACCUCUCCCCUGAGGCAAAGUCCCGACACAUCUGUGAUUGAAUGCAACUAUAGAAGUAUUAGCAUAAAAAUAUGUGGCCUGGAAGGAAUCUCUGAAGAUACUGAAGAACCUCAAGUUCCCUACAUUGCUAGGAGCCAAGGGAAGGAGACACUGUACACCUAGAGCGCUGAAUUAGCAGCUGAGGUUUUAGUAUUUGAAAGCAAAUAAUAUAAAGCGAGUAAUGUCUACAGUGGGUCUCAGUUACCAUUUGGCUACUUAUUUAGGACUCGAUUAACUUGGCAACUUUUACAAAAAACAUUCACAUCACAACAUGCAACUUAAAAAACAGUUAAUGUAACUAUGCCACUGUCAGCAAGGCCAGCUUGCAUACCAGAGUUAAGAAUGAGAGUGUCUGUCUGCCUAGGGCUUAACAUUCAAAGAUAUUUAUAAUCUGUGUUUUAAGGUUAAAUUUUAUAUGACCCAGUUUUCCUUCUUUGUUCACUAUACACUAAAAUUAAACGCCUCUACGCUGUGCAAGAAAUCACUAUGUGUGAUUUUACUAUUUCAACCAAUCCAUAGACCCUGAGGAUUUGGCAGCAGAAUUCAGGAGAAAUGCUACCUAAAGUGAUUGAGCUGUUGCUAAUUCUACCUUCUGUUCCACUCAAGUACCUCCAGGGACUAACAAGGGAAGGCAAGGGCAACUGUGACUGACUAGGUAACCAGCUAUUCUGUUGUGACAGAAGAAACCAGGUAAUACUUGAUUUUCAAAAGAUAAUUUUAACUGCUGCCCUAUACUACUUUUAGUAUAGUUUGGCUUGACCUUAAUAGCCAUGUCCCUCAUCUUAGAUAGAAUAACCAAAUUGGUUUAAAAUUACUUGAUCUAUGUCACUGAAACCUGAAAUAUGCCAUCACUAAGAGAACCCCCAAAUAAAAAAUAAAGAACUAAAAAACACAACCAAACCAAAUCAAACCAAAAACCUCAUUCUCUGUAUCAUACUUUAAAACUAAAAUAAAAAUCCCUGUGUCACAGGUGCUUGCUCAGGGCUGCCAACUUCUAUUUUUCACCUGAGAGACAUCUAAAAGCGCAAACUAUGCUUGUAAAAACCAAAAAGUAAAUCUCUACAUAGGACAAUACUUAUAAGCAGACCUAUUGAUACCACUUAUAUAUAAUUAGUCUGUUUUCUUUAGAAAGUAUCAGAGCAGAAACGUCUUUGGUUAAUUCUUUCCUCUACAUGCAAAAUAAAAUAUUCUUAAACGA